rnacentral:lncRNA from 1 species
CACCAAAGGCCUGUGGUGUAUUCCUUCAGAACCAAUUGGUUUCACAGGCAAGCAUGUUGUCCAUGCAGCUCAUGCUAUUUUGGAGGGAAAAUACAGUACACACAGAGACCAGACUUUGGAGGAAUGAGGCCGGCCUUCUGUCAUCUUGGGAAAUGAUGUGCCAUCACAGGUCUAUAAGGAUGACAAACAGAACUCUCCUGUGGAAUGGGAACACUCUGGCCGUACAGUCUUGUUCUGACAAAGGCUCCAGAAUUCAAGAUUAUGAACCAUAAAACUAGAGCAAAUCUGUGUGUAGGACACUAUUGGCUCAUCAAGCCUGGGAUGCACCAGGGCAUACAGUAGGCACAUAUUUGUUGUAAGGAAUCUCUACAGGAAUGAGAAGACAGGAUGAAGACUCCAAGAUCAUCCCACUAAAAAUAAGAGCUGAGAAUGUUAACUCAUCACCUAAUGUGUAGAAAAGUCUGUGCAUUCCCUUUUAACUUCCAGCUAUGCAUCUGUUUAAAAAAAGAGAAUGAGAAAAGGCACAAUAGGGAAAUCCCAGCAUCUUCACGCCUCCCCCACCCACCUGCACAACUCUUCCAGGGAAAACAGAGGCUUUAGAAUCUAAAGGGCAGACUCUCAUCUAACCAAUGAGAGAGGCAUUCUAAGUCAGAUCAUACCAGUCCACAGACACUAAAUGAUGCAAUCAGAAAACCUUUUGAGAAGCAAUUGCCCUCCACCCUACCACCCACUCCCACUCCCCCUUCCUUUCUUUUCUCAGACAGGGUCUUUUGUAGCUCAUGUGGGUCUUGAACUCUAGAUCUUCCUGGUUCAGUACCCAGCCUUGAAAGACAUUUUCCAAACAAUGUUUAACACCAGUCGUCAGUCUAAACUUCUGAACUUCUAAGACUAUCAGAAGCCAUUUUACUACUAUAUAUAUUAAAAAGUCACCACUGUGGGUGUGAUUGGCAAACACAUUCUUGCACAUUUCUGCAUUUUCUUAAACUUUAUUUACAUUAUGCUCCACCCUUAAAGUUUCCUUCUAAGUAUCUGCAAGCUGGAUAACUAUCUCACUCUGUCUCUCAAAAAUCCCCCCACGGACGGGUAAAGUUAAGUAAGGGCUGGAGGGACAUUUCUGGGGUUGUCUGGUUUUGUCCCUAAAAGACACCCAAUGCCCCUGGACCCCUUGGGGCAGGCAGAGCAAAAAGCUCUUCAGAAAAGCUUGGCUGCUGGGAAGAUUUUUUUCUGCGCUGUCUAGCAGGGUCCCCGGUUUUAUCUCGGGAAACUCAACUCUUAACUUUAGUUGGGCCACCAGCUGCCCUUGCCCAGCACCUUCCUGGACCCCAUAGCCAGUGCUCCUGGCUCAACUGACCAUGUUCCAGUGCUUGAAUUCUCCAGGUGCCUCAGCACCGCCACCUCGCAGAUGGUGGAGAGCAGCAUGCCCUCCUCACUGGUCUGCACUCCCAAGAGCUUCAGAGCCAUGAAGUGGCUGCCAUUCUUCAGGUCACAAGCCUUGAACCCCUUCCCAUAGGCGCCUUCGCCAAUCUCUGCCAAGCACUCAUACAGCUGAUCGGUGUGACUCAGGCUCUCCUUCUCCGUGCUGGCUGCAGGCUGUCGUGGCAGCACAGUGGAACCCGGGUGCACACUGGCUGCCUUACACGCCUUGGGGAAGCCCAGAAUAGGACUCAAGGCCGCAGGGCUAGACAGACCGACCUCCUCGCCCUAGGGUGCAAACCAAGGUGCAGUUGUCGCUAAACUUGGCCUAGCCUAGUCGCCACGCCUCGCCUCCGCCGCAGGAGAGCGCUGAUCCCUCCUCUUCCCCCUCCUCAGUGAUUGUAUAGUCUGCCCACAAUCUCUGCACCUAGGAGGAGGAGUCCGGGGGACUGGGAGAAAGUGGGAUCAGAUUGGCCUGGAGACUUCCACCGGGUUCCACCAGCUCCUCUCCUCCUCCCCUCUACUCGACCUGGCUUCCUAAUCUGACCGGGUUUCUCAGAGAAAAACCAAGUUACUUUUUUCCCCAGCAGGGCUCCUGCAGUCUUCUGGAGGAAAAGGUUGCUGAGGCCCCUCGGGGAUGAGUACAGCGAGGGAAGAGAGGGGGCUUGCCCAGCAACCUGGAGUGUGCCCAGAGCGCAGGGGAGGGGAGGCGCUGGGCCCAUCAAUGUCAAUGGCUCAGUAUUUAUACUGGUAUCAUUGUUCUCCUCUGCCCUACCUGACUCUGGGGACCUGGUCUUGCGGGGUACUAGCGACCUGGGAUAAUUCGGAAGCUGGUGUGAAAGCACGGGGUGGGGGGGGGUUCCACCUGGGUGGGGCCCAUGGAAGGAGUUACAGAGACAAAGGUUGGAGCUGAGACAAAAGGAUGGACCAUCAAGAGACUGCCAUAUCCAGGGAUCCAUCCCAUAAUUAGCCUCCAAAUGAUGACACCAUUACAUACACUAGCAAGCAUUUGUUGCAAGGACCGUGAUAUAGCUGUCUCUUGUGAGACUAGGCUGGGGCCUAGCAAACACUGAAGUGGAUGCUCACAGUCAGCUAUUGAAUGGAUCACAGGGCCCCCAAUGAAUGAGCUAGAGAAAGUAUCCAAGGAGCUAAAGAGAUCUGCAACCCUGUAGGUGCAACAUUAUGAACUAACCAGUACCCAAGAGCUCUUGACUCUAGCUGCAUAUGUAUCAAAAGAUGGCCUAGUCGGCCAUCACUGCAAAGAGAGGCCC